AGCUUUGCGCAGUGAUAGUAUCGUAGCCAAUGAGGUUUAUCUGAGGUGCGAUUAUUGCUAAUUGAAAACUUGAGAGGUGAGGGUAUGCCUGCAUGUACAACAAUCCC
ensembl:snRNA U4 U4 spliceosomal RNA